UAAGCAUAUCAAUAAGCGGAGGAAAAGAAACUAACAAGGAUUCCCCUAGUAACUGCGAGUGAAGCGGGAAAAGCUCAAAUUUAAAAUCUGGCGGUCUUCGGUCGUCCGAGUUGUAGUCUGGAGAAGUGCUUUCCGCGCUGGACCGUGUACAAGUCUCUUGGAACAGAGCGUCAUAGAGGGUGAGAAUCCCGUCUUUGACACGGACUACCAGUGCUUUGUGAUGCGCUCUCAAAGAGUCGAGUUGUUUGGGAAUGCAGCUCAAAAUGGGUGGUAAAUUCCAUCUAAAGCUAAAUAUUGGCGAGAGACCGAUAGCGAACAAGUACCGUGAGGGAAAGAUGAAAAGCACUUUGGAAAGAGAGUUAAACAGUACGUGAAAUUGCUGAAAGGGAAACGAUUGAAGUCAGUCGCGUUAGCCAGGACUCAUCCUUGUUUUUACUUGGUGCAUUUUCUGGUUGACGGGCCAGCAUCGAUUUUGACCGCCGGAAAAAGAUUGGGGGAAUGUGGCACCUUCGGGUGUGUUAUAGCCCUCAGUCACAUACGGCGAUUGGGAUCGAGGACCGCAGCACGCCUUUAUGGCCGGGGUUCGCCCACGUUCGUGCUUAGGAUGCUGGCGUAAUGGCUUUAAACGACCCGUCUUGAAACACGGACCAAGGAGUCUAACAUGCCUGCGAGUGUUUGGGUGGAAAACCCGAGCGCGUAAUGAAAGUGAAAGUUGAGAUCCCUGUCGCGGGGAGCAUCGACGCCCGGACUUGAACUUCGGUGAUAGAUCUGCGGUAGAGCAUGUAUGUUGGGACCCGAAAGAUGGUGAACUAUGCCUGAAUAGGGUGAAGCCAGAGGAAACUCUGGUGGAGGCUCGUAGCGAUUCUGACGUGCAAAUCGAUCGUCAAAUUUGGGUAUAGGGGCGAAAGACUAAUCGAACCAUCUAGUAGCUGGUUCCUGCCG
rnacentral:rRNA from 1 species